UAAUUAGUGUUUUGGUGGUAAAAUCUAUCGUUGCCAUCGAUAGGCCCCGCGUUCGAUUCGCGGCUAAUGCA
rnacentral:tRNA from 1 species